rnacentral:piRNA from 1 species
UGAGAUGCUGCUCAUGAAGACAGUCUUGUA